rnacentral:RNase_P_RNA from 1 species
GUUGUUGCAGACGAUCGUCGUUCGACGGAGCUCGAAAGGGUGACGUCGGAGGGAGGAAAGUCCGAACUCCGCAGGGCAGUGCGCCGGGUAACGCCCGGUCGGGGUAACCCGAAGGAAAGUGGCACAGAAAAUAUACCGCCUCUCGACUCGCCCCUUCGGGGCUCGCUCGAGGCAGGCCGAUGAAGGGUGAUCGCGACGGAACACUUGACACGGCCUGCCCUGAGCGAGCCUCGAAGAGGCGAGUCGAAGGGUAAGGGUGAAAAGGUGCGGUAAGAGCGCACCGCGCCGGUGGCGACAUCGGUGGCAGGCAAAACCCCGCACGGAGCAAGGCCAAAUAGGGGAGUCAGAAUCUGCCGGCGCCGCAAGGAUGCCGGUGGAGGAAUCGAACGGCCCGUUCGACGAACUUCCGGGUAGGCUGCUUGAUCCCGCCAGUAAUGGCGGGGCUAGAGGAAUGAUCGUCACGCCGAAGCUCGCGGCCGCAAGGCCGUAAGCGAAGGCGGACAGGAUUCGGCUUACGCGGCAACAUCAAUC